AUUAAUUCUUGCCCUCACCAAUGAGUUAGUGAACUGAGAGAAGUAAAUGUGGCGCAGACAAUUUCAUUCCCAUGCUCAGAUUUUCAAAGUAUAAAGAAGCUAUUGCUGUAUGGAAAGGUCAUUUAUAAGAACAAUAACAGAAGAAACGGUGUCUGGGUUGUAAAAUGCUGAGUUAUUGAAUAUGUUUCCUAGUAAAAAAAAAAAA
rnacentral:lncRNA from 1 species